UUGCUUGCUUGUCGAGGAUCCUGAGUUGCAAGCUAGGAUACGCGUUCCAGCCGGAGUCCCUACGGAGUGGAGUCCAUUACCACAUCGUUGUUCCGCUGCUAGUGUAGAAUUACCCAAGGCAGGCGUAGUAUCACCGCGGUGAUGUAAUCCAAGUACCCUUGUAACCUUUUCCAUAGAAAUAAAGAGAUGAUUUGUUCUAUGCCAACGGUGCCGUAUUCCAGAAGACUUG
rnacentral:lncRNA from 1 species